GAUGAACGCUAGCUACAGGCUUAACACAUGCAAGUCGAGGGAACGGCGCACGGGUGAGAAACACGUAUCCAACCUGCCCUUUACUCGGGAAUAGCCUUUCGAAAGAAAGAGUAAUACCUGAUAUACAGGAUGGGGAGGCGUUCCAUUAGGUUGUUGGUGAGGUAACGGCUCACCAAGCCUUCGAUGGCUAGGGGUUCUGAGAGGAAGGUCCCCCACAUUGGAACUGAGACUCGGUCCAAACUCCUACGUGAGGCAGCAGUGAGGAAUAUUGGUCAAUGGGCGCUAGCCUGAACCAGCCAAGUAGCGUGAAGGAUGAAGGCUUAUGGGUCGUAAACUUCUUUUAUAUAAGAAUAUGUAUUAGAUGAAUAAGGAUCGGCUAACUCCGUGCCAGCAGCCGCGGUAAUUC
rnacentral:rRNA from 1 species